CCUACGGGAGGCUGCAGUGGGGAAUCUUCCGCAAUGGACGAAAGUCUGACGGAGCAACGCCGCGUGAGUGACGAAGGUUUUCGGAUCGUAAAGCUCUGUUGUCGGGGAAGAACACUUUCCAUGUGAAUAAUGUGGGGAGUUGACGGUACCUGACGAGGAAGCCACGGCUAACUACGUGCCAGCAGCCGCGGUAAUACGUAGGUGGCGAGCGUUGUCCGGAAUUAUUGGGCGUAAAGCGCGCGUAGGCGGGAUAUUAAGUCUAUUCUAAAAGUGCGGGGCUCAACCCCGUGAUGGGAUGGAAACUAAUAUUCUUGAGUGCCGGAGAGGAAAGCGGAAUUCCCAGUGUAGCGGUGAAAUGCGUAGAUAUUGGGAGGAACACCAGUGGCGAAGGCGGCUUUCUGGACGGUGUCUGACGCUGAGGCGCGAAAGCCAGGGGAGCGAACGGGAUUAGAUACCCUUGUAGUC
rnacentral:rRNA from 1 species